rfam:Gossypium arboreum cultivar AKA8401 contig_2724_9, whole genome shotgun sequence.
GUCAAUAUCGCCGAAUUGGUGUAAUGCGCCAGUUUCAGGUACUGGUCCGAGAAGGCAUGAGUUAGAAUCUCAUUCUUCACA